CCUACGGGUGGCAGCAGUGAGGAAUAUUGGUCAAUGGGCGAGAGCCUGAACCAGCCAAGUCGCGUGAAGGAUGACGGCCCUACGGGUUGUAAACUUCUUUUAUAUGGGAAUAAAGUGAGGAACGUGUUCCUUUUCGUAUGUACCAGAUGAAUAAGCAUCGGCUAACUCCGUGCCAGCAGCCGCGGUAAUACGGAGGAUGCGAGCGUUAUCCGGAUUUAUUGGGUUUAAAGGGUGCGUAGGUGGUUAAUUAAGUCAGCGGUGAAAGUUGGUGGCUCAACCAUAAAAUUGCCGUUGAAACUGGUUGUCUUGAGUAGAUGUGAGGUAGGCGGAAUGCGUGGUGUAGCGGUGAAAUGCAUAGAUAUCACGCAGAACUCCGAUUGCGAAGGCAGCUUACUAGACUACAACUGACACUGAUGCACGAAAGCGUGGGGAUCAAACAGGAUUAGAUACCCCAGUAGUC
rnacentral:rRNA from 1 species